UCAGAUGUGGUGUGGUUGGUAACGCGACUUCUCUUUCUGAACUGGAACCAGACGUUCGUGAGGCAGUCCAGGGUUCGAAUCCCUGCGUCUGAA